rnacentral:lncRNA from 1 species
CAGAGAACAAAGUCAAUGAUGGUGGUGGCAAAGGGGUGUCAGACGGCACGCCUGCAGACGUGGAGAAGCGGCGCAAAGGGGGCUAAGGUUUCUUUUGUUUUACUGAAAAUGUUUAGCCUUUUGGGCCAUUUGGGCCAUUAGGGUUUUAAUUUUUUUUGGGCUUUGUAAUUUAGGUAAUAGGUUUUGUUUAUUUUUAUUUUCAUCUAUUUUUUUUGUUUGGGUUGAUUGGUUUGGUUUGUUUGGGUUGAUUGGUUUGGUUUAUUUGGGCUGAUUGGUUUGGUUUGUUUGGGCUCAGAAAAAAUUAGGCCUUACACCUGCCCCUCUUUACUCAAUUACGUGUAACAAGAAUUGAGCAAAGACUUUAAAAAGGGUCAAUUUUGUCUAGUCUUGCCGAAUCUCGACUUCCUUGUGCUUCUCUUUUCCAAGUGGCUUCAUCCUAUCCCACCACAACUUUAAGGGUAUAGGAAUUGUAGUUUCAAUC